UACGUAGGGUGCAAGCGUUGUCCGGAAUUAUUGGGCGUAAAGGGCUCGUAGGCGGUCCAUCGCGUCGGGAGUGAAAAGCUGGGGCUUAACCCCAGUCCUGCUUUCGAUACGGGUGGACUAGAGGUAGGCAGGGGAGAACGGAAUUCCUGGUGUAGCGGUGAAAUGCGCAGAUAUCAGGAGGAACACCGGUGGCGAAGGCGGCCCUCUGGACGGAUACUGACGCUGAGGCGCGAAGGCGUGGGGAUCAAGCAGG
rnacentral:rRNA from 1 species